AUUGCCACCACAUUUACAUGACCCAACUAAAGCUGAGACAAAGGCUAAGGUUUGCGAUUAUGUCACUUCCGGUUUAGUCACUUCCUGUGACGUCAUUUCCUGUUAAAAAUCUUACCUCUGUGGAAGGAAUGGCAGACAUGUGCAUCUUCUGAUUGUAAUCCGCUAGCAUCCACAUGAAAGCAUCUAAGAGGCAAUGCCUUUUCACCGUCUGUUAAUGAGGAAUUGUGACAGUAAAUGGUCAACCUUACUACGACUCUGUCUUCAUUGGCUACGGUUUAACUCGGUGUUAAGUCAGAGUUGCAACACACUGCACGAGAACACUACAAAGCGUGAAGAUGUCUCUGAACGAUAGCUUCAGGUUUUGUUUAUCUAAUUUAAGAGUUCAAAGAACAGUUGUACAUUCUAAAUUAAUAUUCGAUAGUAAGGACAGAGAUAAUGUUUGCAGUCAACUGUCGACGCUGGGUCUUGUCAUUGACAAUACG
ensembl:lncRNA